AGAUUGCGUCAGUAGCGGCGAGCGAAAGCGCAAGAGGGCAAACCCAGUGCUUGCACUGGGGGUUGUAGGACUGCAAUGUGCAAGAGGUAAGUUUAGCAGAACAUUCUGGAAAGUAUAACCAUAGAGGGUGAUAGUCCCGUAUGCGAAAAACAAACCUUAGCUAGCAGUAUCCUGAGUAGGGCGGGACACGAGGAAUCCUGUCUGAAUCCGGGUCGACCACGAUCCAACCCUAAAUACUAAUACCAGAUCGAUAGUGCACAAGUACCGUGAGGGAAAGGUGAAAAGAACUGAGGUGAUCAGAGUGAAAUAGAACCUGAAACCAUUUGCUUACAAUCAUUCAGAGCCCUAUGUAGCAAUACAGGGUGAUGGACUGCCUUUUGCAUAAUGAGCCUGCGAGUUGUGGUGUCUGGCAAGGUUAAGCAAACGCGAAGCCGUAGCGAAAGCGAGUCUGAAUAGGGCGCUUAGUCAGAUGCUGCAGACCCGAAACGAAGUGAUCUAUCCAUGAGCAAGUUGAAGCUAGUGUAAGAACUAGUGGAGGACUGAACCCAUAGGCGUUGAAAAGCCCCGGGAUGACUUGUGGAUAGGGGUGAAAGGCCAAUCAAACUUCGUGAUAGCUGGUUCUCUCCGAAAUAUAUUUAGGUAUAGCGUUGUGUCGUAAUAUAAGGGGGUAGAGCACUGAAUGGGCUAGGGCAUACACCAAUGUACCAAACCCUAUCAAACUCCGAAUACCUUAUAUGUAAUCACAGCAGUCAGGCGGCGAGUGAUAAAAUCCGUCGUCAAGAGGGAAACAACCCAG
rnacentral:rRNA from 1 species